ACCCUGGUAGUCCACGCCCUAAACGAUGCGAACUGGAUGUUGGGUGCAAUUUGGCACGCAGUAUCGAAGCUAACGCGUUAAGUUCGCCGCCUGGGGAGUACGGUCGCAAGACUGAAACUCAAAGGAAUUGACGGGGGCCCGCACAAGCGGUGGAGUAUGUGGUUUAAUUCGAUGCAACGCGAAGAACCUUACCUGGCCUUGACAUGUCGAGAACUUUCCAGAGAUGGAUUGGUGCCUUCGGGAACUCGAACACAGGUGCUGCAUGGCUGUCGUCAGCUCGUGUCGUGAGAUGUUGGGUUAAGUCCCGCAACGAGCGCAACCCUUGUCCUUAGUUGCCAGCACGUAAUGGUGGGAACUCUAAGGAGACCGCCGGUGACAAACCGGAGGA
rnacentral:rRNA from 1 species